UACGGAGGAUGCAAGGGUUAUCCGGAAUGAUUGGGCGUAAAGCGUCUGCAGGUGGCAGUUCAAGUCUGCUGUCAAAGACCGGGGCUUAACUUCGGAAAGGCAGUGGAAACUGAACAGCUAGAGUAUGGUAGGGGCAGAGGGAAUUCCUGGUGUAGCGGUGAAAUGCGUAGAGAUCAGGAAGAACAUCGGUGGCGAAGGCGCUCUGCUGGACCAUAACUGACACUCAGGGACGAAAGCCAGGGGAGCGAAUGGG
rnacentral:rRNA from 1 species